GUUCGUUUCGGCAGCACAUAUACUAAAAUUGGAAUGAUAGAAGAUUAGCAUGGCCCCUGCACAAAGAUGACACACAAAUUUGUGAAGCGUUCCAUCUUUAA
rnacentral:snRNA from 1 species